rnacentral:rRNA from 1 species
CCUUGCGCUAAUAGAUGAGCCUAAGUCGCAUAGCUAGUUGGUGGGGUAAAGGCCUACCAAGGCGACGAUCCUGUAGCGGGUCUGAGAGGAUGAUCCGCCACACUGGGACUGAGACACGGCCCAGACUCUACGGGAAGGCAGCAGUGGGGAAUAUUGGACAAUGGGCGCAAGCCUGAUCCAGCCAUGCCGCGUGUGUGAAGAAGGCCUUAUGGUUGUAAAGCACUUUAAGCGAGGAGGAGGCUACUUUAGUUAAUACCUAGAGAUAGUGGACGUUACUCGCAGAAUAAGCACCGGCUAACUCUGUGCCAGCAGCCGCGGUAAUACAGAGGGUGCAAGCGUUAAUCGGAUUUACUGGGCGUAAAGCGCGCGUAGGCGGCUAAUUAAGUCAAAUGUGAAAUCCCCGAGCUUAACUUGGGAAUUGCAUUCGAUACUGGUUAGCUAGAGUGUGGGAGAGGAUGGUAGAAUUCCAGGUGUAGCGGUGAAAUGCGUAGAGAUCUGGAGGAAUACCGAUGGCGAAGGCAGCCAUCUGGCCUAACACUGACGCUGAGGUGCGAAAGCAUGGGGAGCAAACAGGAUUAGAUACCCUGGUAGUCCAUGCCGUAAACGAUGUCUACUAGCCGUUGGGGCCUUUGAGGCUUUAGUGGCGCAGCUAACGCGAUAAGUAGACCGCCUGGGGAGUACGGUCGCAAGACUAAAACUCAAAUGAAUUGACGGGGGCCCGCACAAGCGGUGGAGCAUGUGGUUUAAUUCGAUGCAACGCGAAGAACCUUACCUGGCCUUGACAUAGUAAGAACUUUCCAGAGAUGGAUUGGUGCCUUCGGGAACUUACAUACAGGUGCUGCAUGGCUGUCGUCAGCUCGUGUCGUGAGAUGUUGGGUUAAGUCCCGCAACGAGCGCAACCCUUUUCCUUAUUUGCCAGCGAGUAAUGUCGGGAACUUUAAGGAUACUGCCAGUGACAAACUGGAGGAAGGCGGGGACGACGUCAAGUCAUCAUGGCCCUUACGGCCAGGGCUACACACGUGCUACAAUGGUCGGUACAAAGGGUUGCUACCUAGCGAUAGGAUGCUAAUCUCAAAAAGCCGAUCGUAGUCCGGAUUGGAGUCUGCAACUCGACUCCAUGAAGUCGGAAUCGCUAGUAAUCGCGGAUCAGAAUGCCGCGGUGAAUACUGCCGCA